rnacentral:rRNA from 1 species
GUAUGAAGAAGGCCUUCGGGUUGUAAAGUACUUUCAGCGGGGAGGAAGGGAGUAAAGUUAAUACCUUUGCUCAUUGACGUUACCCGCAGAAGAAGCACCGGCUAACUCCGUGCCAGCAGCCGCGGUAAUACGGAGGGUGCAAGCGUUAAUCGGAAUUACUGGGCGUAAAGCGCACGCAGGCGGUUUGUUAAGUCAGAUGUGAAAUCCCCGGGCUCAACCUGGGAACUGCAUCUGAUACUGGCAAGCUUGAGUCUCGUAGAGGGGGGUAGAAUUCCAGGUGUAGCGGUGAAAUGCGUAGAGAUCUGGAGGAAUACCGGUGGCGAAGGCGGCCCCCUGGACGAAGACUGACGCUCAGGUGCGAAAGCGUGGGGAGCAAACAGGAUUAGAUACC